rnacentral:lncRNA from 1 species
UUUUUUUUUUCUUUUUUUAACUAUUUUGAGGAAAAUAAAGAAAGAAAAAUGCUGGCAACAAUCACUGCAUAGCCUUGAGGGGAUGCUGAACCACUGCAUAGCCUUAAGGGGAUACUGAACCAACAUGUUGAAUUUGCCUCACGACCUAAAAAGAAAUCUUUAACUAGCUAAAUUUAGUUUGGUCCUAUUUAGAUCCGUACCAGAUAAAUUUAGACAGCCGGUGCAUGCAAACAGGACCUGAUCCCGAUCCUAACAGCACAAAGACUCCAUUGGCUGCUGGCGGGCUUCAUUUGUUCAACACACAGUUUGACGCGGGGCCGUGGCAACGAGAACGCAAAGGGACGAAGGCUACUGGGCCUUGGCGGCACGAAUAGAGCAGGCGGCGGCGAUUCAAGACGCUAAACUAGAUUAUAAUAUAAACUAAUUACAAAAUUAAUUAUUCAUCAUUAGUAAAAAGUUACGGUAGCACCACAUUGUCAAAUUAUGGAUAAACUUUAGAUUAUAAUAUAAGCUAAUUACAAAAUUAAUUAUUUAUCAUUAGCAAACGGUUACUGUAGCACCACAUUGUCAAAUUAUGGAUUAAUUAGGCUUGUGUGCAAUUAUUUUUAUAAUUAGACUAUGUUUAAUAGUCCUAAUUAAUAUCAAACAUCCGAUGUGACAGGUGCAAAGUUUAGCCAGUGGUAUCCAAACUUCCCGAACGUGAGUUCAUUCUUCUCGCUCGCUCGAUCAACUGGAUCGGAUCUUAACGGAACGCCGCCGCCGAUGGGAUCUGUGCAAGAAGUUGCGGCUGCGGUGGUCAACUGGUCGGUGGAGGAAGGAGGAGAUCACGUAUUCACAUCACAUCGAGCGGCGAAGACCUCACUGGCUGACUGACUGACGAGGGAGGCCCACCGUCAGUGAGGCAAGCGAGCUAGCAAAGCCAAGGGAUACCCUCCCCGCGAACCCCGAUGCCUGCGGCAGCCGCACACACCACCACCACCAUCACCACCACCUACAGCGCCUCCACCAACGCGCUCGGCCCGCCGCUGCCUUACUGGGCCGUCGGCCGGGAGGAGCACAGGUGGCGCGUCGGAAUGGACUCCGCCGCCGCCGCCGCGGGGCUCCUCGAGCCCGGCGCCAAGGAGCUGGCCGCGCGCAGCCUCGGCCGCACCGCCCACAACAUGUCCUCCUCCUCGCUCCGCAAGAAGUCCGAUCUCGCCCUCCUCCGCAAGGUCCCCUGCGCGUCGCUCCGCCGGCUGCUCGACAACCUCCAGCAGGUCCUGCUCGCCACCAAGCUCGUCCUCCUCUUUCCCGCCGUCAUCCUCGCGCUCGCCGCGCGCUUCUUCCACUUCGGCCAGGCAAGUUUUUGCUCUCUCCAUCCUCCUCCUGUAACUGCAUUUUCCUUUUUUUGCUUCGAUUUCGCGCUCCUUCCUUCAAUUUCAACCAAAUGAGAGGUCCAAUUCGGCCUGGCAAGCUGUACUCUGCUGUCUUCCAUUCCUCUCCAGGCAUUGCAUUUGUUUCUUCCAUCUCUCGCUCCUCCUUUCAAUUUCGACAAACUGAGAGGACUAAUUGCUCAAUUUACCCCCAUGUUCUUCCAUCCAUGACCUCGCCCUCAAUCAAAGAGCGUAGACAGAGACACAGCGCGAUACGAAUAAAAAUGCAUUUUGAUCACGCGAGCCAGCCAGGCUCAACAGAUAAGAUUGCAUCACUUCAUGUGCCGCCUUCAUUGGCCGCUAGCUCUGCAUCUCAAUUCUCCCUUUACGACAAAUCUCUGCCUGCCGCUUCUCAGAAACAUAAGACCUUGUCCUCAACAGUAACAAAAAAUAAAAACUGAAAGCCCAGCGUUUUGUUGCAUAAAGUCAUAAACUAGCCAUCCGGGUCAAAGAAAACACAACAACACGACGCGUGAAGAGAGCAGGACGUUCUGGUGAUGAUUAGGUUUGCACUAAGUAUUUACAUGUGACCAUGUGGGCUAGCCUGUUUCUGUCAAAUUAUAUUCAAUCUCACACAGAUGGAAUCAUGGAAUCAAAUAGCACCAGUUAAACUAAUCAGCCAAUCACAUGCAUGCUUUACCCACGUCCCGCACACAUCUAACGACCUGCUUACUCUUCCUCUAUUGUGCAAUGUUCUCCUUUGGCCCUCUUUUAAUUUGAGUUCACUAAUAAGUGGCCACUAGUUACUUCCCCAUUGACCAUGUAAGAUGUUGACAGCAUAAUAGGUGGGCUUCACCUUUCAGCUCCAGCGCAGCAGAUUUAGACUGUCACUAGGCUCAACGGCGAUAUAUAUCUCCUCCAGCUAAAGUAGAAUUUUGGGAGGGGGUGGAGGUUCUUUCUUAUCUUGUACCAUGGUCCUGUUCGACAUGUGAACUAGCUUGCAUGCUGGCAAUGUUCUUGUUUGUCCUCUUCCAAACACAUGACAUACAAACAAGAUCUUGCUUAUCAGCAAAUGCUUGUUGCACACGGGGCUUUGCUUCUUUUGUUCCAUUGCCAGUCCGCCAUUAUGUUUUUAAUUUUAAUAUGAAAAGGAAACUCUAGGGUUACACCUCAGAGUGGAUUCCAUCGAAACUGAAGCUGAAGGAAGUAAUUCUUUUGCAGCCAAUAUAUGAUUAUGACUUUCCCCUUCUCUAAACAUAUGUUUUUUCUUGAAAUUUAACAGGAGUGGAUAUUUGUCCUUAGCUUAAUUGGUCUAAUUCCUCUUGCUGAGCGACUAAGCUUUCUGACGGAGUAAGUGUCUUUUGUUCACUAUCAUAUCGCUUUCUGUCUGUGUAACCUGUGUUUUGAUAAACAUCUUUCUGUUAUCUGUUAAUGUGUUGCAGGCAGGUUGCAUUUUACACGGGACCUACUGGUAAAAACAAUUGUUAGCAAACUUGAUCCUGUUGUCCAGCCCACAACCGUUACAGUUAGUUUAAUCUAUCUGAUUCUUUUGCAGUGGGUGGACUAUUGAAUGCAACAUUUGGAAAUGUAACAGAGGUCAUCAUCGCAAUCUUUGCCCUGUAUGAAGGCAAGGUACUGGUGGUGAAAUGCUCCCUGCUCGGCUCCAUCUUGUCCAACUUGUUGCUUGUCCUCGGAACUUCCCUUUUCUUCGGUGGCCUGGCUAACCUUGGAAAAGAGCAGCCUUAUGACAGAGUAACCAACUCAGCUAUAUUCCACCUAUUAGGCUGUCCUUGAAAAAAUGAAAAAACUCUGGUGUCUCACUAAAGGAGCAUCUGAUUUUGUUCUGUACAGAUGCAAGCAGAUGUCAGCACAGGACUUCUGAUUCUUGGUGCACUAUGCCACUCUCUGCCACUGAUGCUGAGGUAUUCUGUGAGUUCCGGGGAGCAUAUGAUGGUCUCUUGGGAUGCAGGAUUGGAGCUGUCCCGAGCAUGCAGUGUUGUCAUGCUCCUGGCCUAUGUAGCCUACCUUUUCUUCCAACUGAAGACCCAUCGCCAACUCUUUGAGCCCCAAGAGGUGUGUACUGUAAACUGUUGCUAAUUAGUAACCAGCAGGGGUUGCUAACAUUACACCACUUGGACCAAAUGAACUCUAAUAAGAAUACGUGGUCGGACCAAAUGAAUAGGUCGAAGAUGAUGGUGAUGAUUCGGUCUCCCAAGAUGAGGCGGUCCUGGGAUUUUCUAGUGCAAUAAUUUGGCUCGGAGUCAUGACUCUGAUGACAGCGGUAUUGUCAGAAUUUGUUGUGAGCACAAUUGAGGUAUGCAGUACAAUCCCAUGUCUGUAUUGCCAUCUUCAACCAGCAUAGAUAUACUGCUUUAAGUUAUAGUACAGCUAGCGAUUUGCUGACUGAGAGUGGUAUCAACAGGCGGCAUCAAAAUCAUGGGAACUAUCUGUGAGUUUCAUUAGCAUCAUCUUGAUCCCAAUAGUUGGUAAUGCGGCAGAGCAUGCUGGUGCAGUCAUAUUUGCUUUUAAGAACAAGCUGGUACAGAACUUCAGGAACUCUUGCACACUUGUUGGAAUGUUUAGAUAGUAACCCAACUAAUAGAAAAUUAUUGAUUGUAACAGGACAUCACCCUCGGAGUAUCUUUGGGUUCUGCCACACAGAUUUCCAUGUUUGUGGUGGGUAUUAUUAACUAAAUAUCUUGACAUAGUUCCAUGUGCUUUUUGCACUAAUCUUGAAUCGUGGAAUCGAAAUGUGCUAGGUACCAUUGAGUGUCCUUGUGGCUUGGAUCAUGGGAGUCCCAAUGGAUCUUGAUUUCAACUUGCUUGAGACUGGUUGUUUGUUUCUUGCUAUAUUAGUGACCACCUUUACCCUCCAGGUAAUGUUUCUUUCCUUAUUUGCACAUAUCCAGACCGUGAUAGCAUGGAUCAUGAGUGGUUAGUUAUAUGUACUUCUUAUCUAGUUAUCCUGAAAAAAAAUAAAAAAGGUGCACGGCGAAAUUCCUUUAAGCAGAACAUUCAUGAGCCAUGAUCAGUAGUUGGUAUGGUUAUGCUGUAGUCCUCUUUUUAGGGACACAAUGAUUUUUUUUCCUCCAAGAAUCAAGCCAUUCUUUGUUGAGUGGCUAUAGUACUACUGUCGAUAUUGUAGUAGCAGCACUGAAAAGCAAUAUCUUUAUGUGUUUUGCAGGAUGGAUCAUCGCAUUAUCUGAAGGGGCUGCUGCUUCUGUUUUGCUACAUCGUCAUCGGCAUAUGCUUUUUUGUUUUGAGGCAGCGUGGAAGUAUGCAGUGCACUUCUAGUCUCAGCAAUUUCAACCAUAAUGCAUAACUGCUUGAUGUUCAUCAAAUAAUCUGAUAACAUAUUGCGAUGAUAGGUGGCGGCAACGACGGUGUGGAUCUGGGCAUAGGAAGCAAAACAUGGAGGAUUUAGGGGUGCCUGAGCUGACAGGUUGGACUGCAUUUCCCAUUGAGUUGUUUCGGAGUUAAUGGUGUGGCCUUCAUAUGCAGUUUUGCAUGGAGCACUGGAGGAGGGCCUGGGUGUUAAGUCUGACUGAAGUAGGCUACUUACUACAUGGGUAUGAAAGAAAGAUGCUGCUUUUCAUGCAGCUGGGCUAUGCAGAAAAAAGAAGCAGGACAUCGCAAAAGCAGUUAAGCAAAUCAUUCGGUACAUAUAUUAUAGCUGAAGUCGAGAUAUGUUGUAGAGUCAAGUGUAAAUUAUUGCUGUUGUUCCAACCAAGGCAAGGUGUCGUUCUUUGAAUUAAUUAACUUGUUAUUAGGACUUGAGCUGAGAGGCAAGCAAACAAAACUGGGUGUACCAAGUAAGUUGUCCGUGAAAAAGAAGUGGCAUGUAUGUAAUGCUAUCUGAAGAGGAACAUGCAGUUUAAUUUGGAUGUGCAGAACUGUGUUCUGAACUUCUGAGGUGACAUUGAGUGUGCACUUUACCGUAACUCGUAAGGGUAGCCAUCAACCAGUUGUAACGCGGGUGAAAUGGAUGCUGCUGCGUUUUUUAGGUGGGCGACGUACAGCAUGACGUCGCAUUGACUCGUAUGAUGAACACGAGAAGGAUAAGAAGAGUCAGUGGCUGACUGCUGAAAAUAUGAAGUCUUGCAUUGUUCGGACUCUGCUGACUGACUGCUGCUGGGCCCUUUGCACCUACCUGGGCUUUCAACGGUUGCUGCCCGGCCCACCUAACCUUGUUCUAUGGACGACUGAAUUUUUGAAACCUGUUUUGGGAUUCCAAGUCUCACAGCACACGUUUGUGUUCGUCCCUGACUCCUUGUAGGGCAUGGCACCGGUCAAUAGCGACGGCCUUGGCUUCUAGAAAGCCUACCGGAUACUAGUUGUUGCUGGACAUAUGAUAUUGUCAAAGUAUGGUGGGAAGUAUUGUUGGAAGAAUGAUGUGUGCAGUGGAGUACAUCUGAGUAUCUGACCUGGUGCCUCGGCGUGAAAUUGUCAAACGUGCGCGUGUAAAAGGCGUAGGCUGCACGUACUAGCUUGCUCGGUCAGAGUGAGCUGCCAACUCGAGUGGCACAUAAUAAGUGGCCGCUUUUGAUAUGGAUGGUGCAAGUUAAAAUAAAAGAGCUACCGCUCUCUUCGUUUCAAAUUGUAGAUCGUUUGGAUUUUCUAUAAACAUACACUAUAUCUAGCUUGGGAUCUAGGAGGGGUGGAAAGCCAUAAUAAGGAGAUGCUGUGUGGGUGGUGACUGGCUGGUGAAGGGUCGGCAUCCAUGGCAGCGCACACCACACUGCCCGUGCUCUCUAAUCUUUGUAUCUUCCCCACUAAGCAAACCAAAGCAUAAAGCAACCUAGCUUGUCUCAUUUGCCAUGCUCGGUCUCUACUCUCCUGUGUCCACGUGUCGUCACCUAGCUAGACAGGUAGUUCGUCGAUCCGGUGCUGUUUUGGAUUGGCCGUAGCCAUCACGGACUCACGAUUCAGGAACAAUCAUUCUCGUCCGGUGCUGCACAAACUGUGUAUUGAAGCGACCUACCUUUGAUUAGCAUUAACAAAAAGAGCACACAGUGCAACCCACCAUGUAUGAAUUGGACCCGAGCCACUCCUUCACAUGCAUGCAAUGUCUUCUCUUUUCCAUUGUCUUUUCCGUUUCGCGUGUGUAUUAUUCGGUAGUGUAUUAGUCGAAAGUUUCCAAGCUUGAUGUAAUAAAACAAUUUUUAUGGAACCAAUCAGAGACAUAGAGCUUGGCGCUUAACUGGGAAAAAAGGAUUAUCUUCAACAAGCAGAACAUGAAUUAUCUUCUACCAUACCAAGGUAUGUUCCGGUUCUACUUGCGACAAGAAACAACCUUCAGAACCAUUGGCGAACAGGAUAAUUACUGCUCUCAUCCAACGCAAGAAGCAAACUCGUCCAAAAAUUGUGGGGGGUGCCUUAGCAUCGACUCAGCAACCUGUCGUUCGAUGAAACUGGGCAGUGGCAAUUCGCUUCAUUGUACCCCGUCCGGCAAGGAAGAGGCCGAGCGGCGAGGUGAUGUACAGGGUCCAGUUUCGUUUUGCCUAUCGCCGGCGAGCUCCGGCAAGGGUGGGCGGUUGGCCGGUUCAAAAUGCGUCGAAACCAGCAGCGACGAGAAGUUUCAGGCGGCAAAUUAAAAUCGGGAUCGCAAUUACCAGCAAUUACGAAUUCAUAUCGGUCUGGACCGUCCCGGGCUACUGUGGGCCAAGAUCAAGUCCUUAUCGGGCCUGGCAUCAUGGUGGUCGUGGCCGUCAUGGAGGGAGCCGUGGUCGCGGUGGCUACAACUACGGCAAUGAUGGCUACGGCCACCAUCAGAAUGGCGGCGCCGGUUACCAGAGAUUCUAUGGCAAUGGUGAUGGCUACCAUGGCACCUACGACUCCUUGCACCACGGGAGGGGUUCUGGCCGGGGAGGCUAUAAUCCUGAUCGUGAGCAGAGUAGAGGCGGCCAUGGAGGAAGAGGCCGUGGUGAGCACAAUGGGGGGACGGUUUCGUCGAUAAGAUGGAAACUGAUGCUCCUGUUGCACACCCGACAACAGGCGCUGGAGCUGAUAUGGCAUCAACAGAAGCGGCUGAUGGCAAGGAUCGAUGGUGGUAGCAAAGGCAAGGACGUGCAACGAGAAAGUGAAUCAUCGGCCCAAGGGGCUGCUAGAACUGGAGGUAAAAAUAAACCCUACUGUUACCGAUGCCUAACCAAGGGGCAUAUUAAUACUCAAUGCACCACUCAAAUUAGCUGCGCCUUAUGUGUUACGGAUACACAUGUCACAAAGGCCUGUCCGCAAGCAAAGGUGGCAAAGCAAACGGCUAGUUUGUGUGGAUAUGCUGUAGAUGGUCUGGGUUUUUAUCACAUUCCGUACAAUGGCAAACUGAAAGCACAACCCGAAUCGAAAGCUGCCGUGGUGAAGGUCAUUGAGGGCUCGAUGACUGCAAAUAACAUUGCAGUGGAACUUGAAAGACUUCUUCCAGGUAGCAGCAACUGGGUUUUAGAGGAGAAAGGUGCAGAUGCAUUCACAACCACAUUUCCAUCGCGUGCUGAGCUUACACGAAUGGUGUUGUGGGGUAGUGUGAAAGCAAAGAUGGAAGUACAUGACAAAAAAGAAUCAGAUAUAUACAAGUAUGAGAUUCCAAAGUGCUGGGUGCAAUUCCGAGGUUUAUCCCAGGAAUUGAGAGAUGAGGUUCCUAUCAUCUGGGCAAUUGGCUCCAUUUUGGGAGUGACUAAGAUGGUGGACAUGAGAUUUACAAAACAACAUGGGGUCGCGAGAUUACGCGUAGCACUACUCAACCCUGACCUUAUCCCAGACUUGGUGGAGGUGGUAACAGGGGAAUAUGUAUAUGAGCUACAGUUUAGAGUUGAAACAGAUGGUAUGGCUAACAACCCAGUACCUAUUGAUAUGGACAUAGAUCCUGAAAAUGGAGGUAACAAUGAUGGUGAAACUGAAAAGGGCAACCAAAAUGAUGAAAACAACAAGGAUCAGAAAGGUAGCAUGGCAGCUUUGGGGUCUGGAAAGGACAACAAUGACGAAAUGCUUUCACCUAGCACUGACAACUCUGAUCAAAACCAAGGCAAACAGAAACCAGUGGUCGUGCUUAGUCCUAGUACUGAUGGCAGUAAUGCAUGGACAGCCACACCUAUGCCGACCUUGGUUGACAAGGAAGCGGGUAAUGCAGCUCAGUUGGAGCCGUUGCAUGUCAAUGCCAAUGUGAACAUUACACCCUCUUGUACCAGCAAGAGGAACGUAUCAGCCAAUGAUCAAGAUUCACUGGAAAGGGCAGAAAAGCUUAAAGCAAGGAAAAAUCUAGAAGAGCCCCAGACAAAAGGUACUGACCUUGCAAAUAUUUCUUUUAAUUCAUUUCAUAAUGAUUUUAUCAUAAAAAAUAUCUCGAGUGUAGGGGUCUGCUUGGGUUCAGAUAGGGAGGAUGCGAGUAGUUCUGUUAAUUUUUUUGAAGUCUUUAGAAUCAGACAGGUUACAAGAUCCCAUAGUGCUUAACUUAGGAAUAUGUAAUUCCUUUGGCUUACUAUCUGAGAAUGAAGAAGAGCUUGAUCUCCUCGCAUUAAAUAAUCUAUGUGGUGAUUUAAUCGAGGGCACUAGUGAUGAGGACUGUGAUCUUAAUCUAGCGGCCUCACCAAGGUUUAAACAUCUAAGCUCUACAAAAAAGAAAAAAAAUAAAAAACCAAGCCUAGUUGAGGCAGGAAAUCAGUUUAGGUCUUGUGUCUCUUCUGUUAUCAUGAAAGGUGUCUUUUGGAAUUUUAAUGGCCUAGGGGAUCACAAGAAACAUAAGUUCCUGAAUGAUCUUAGCAAAGAAAAAGGUCUAGAUUUUAUUGCCCUAUCAGAGACGGGGAGGAGUAACUUUUCAGAUUAUUUUCUUAAGAACAUUUGCGCUGGGAAAGAAUUCUUAUGGCAUGUUAAACCUCCCAUUGGCAGAUCUGGUGGCAUGCUAGUAGGGGUUAAUCUUUUGACCUUUGACAUUGGUGAGGUAGAAGAAGGGGAAUUUUUUGUCAGAUUUAAAGUUAGAAAUAAAGAGAGUGGUUUUAAAUGGAAUUUAGUCCCAGUUUAUGGGGCUACACAGCAAGAAUUUAAAGAAGCUUUUCUCACUGAACUACUCCAGAUGUGCACAAAGGAAACCUUACCUAUUUUAUUAGGUGGUGACUUCAAUAUAAUUAGAGGACCACAUGAAAAAAAUAAUAACAACUAUAAUGAUAGAUGGCCGUUCCUAUUUAACGCUAUCAUAGAUGCAUUCAAUUACAGAGAACUCACCUUAUCAGGUCGCCAAUUUACAUGGGCAAAUAAUCUACAAAAUCCUACUUAUGAGAAAUUAGAUAGAAUCCUAGUAUGCACUGAUUGGGAGUCUACCUUUCCGCUUACCACAGUGCAAGCAUUAAUGCGCGAAAUAUCAGACCAUACUCCUUUGUUCUUAAACACAGGAGAUCCAUCUACGCAAAAUAGUCCACCUAGUUUCAAAUUUGAGCUUGUCUGGUUGAUACGUGAUGGAUUCUUUGAUAUGGUUAGUGAUGUUUGGCAAAGCGUUCAUGAGGGACAUACCCCACUCCAAAAAUGGCAGGCAAAGAUUAGAAAGCUGAGACAAUAUUUAAGGGGAUGGGCUAAAAAUACUAGUGGUGCAUACAAAAAGGAAAAGAAACAAUUGUUGAACAAGUUGGAUGAGUUAGAUAGAAAAGCGGAGCAUAGUCAACUAGACCAAAAUGAGGUAAACUUGAAACAUGUUCUUAAUGAGAGGCUAGCCGAAUUGCUGAGAGGAGGAACUUUAAUAUUAAAGGGCUAAAGUUAAGAAUUUAUUGGAAGGUGAUGCAAACACAAGAUACUUCCAAUUAGUGGCGAACGGGAAACACAAAAAAAUGCGUAUUUACCAACUCGAACAUGAUGGGGAAAGGAUAUGUGUGGACGAAAAGCUUAAAAAGUAUAUCACAAAAUUUUAUAAGAAACUUUUUGGCCCUCCAUAAACAAACCACAUGUUCACUUGUAAGUGAUAUUCCCCAAGUUAUUGAGGCGGAAAAUGCAUUACUAAUUGAAAGAUUUAUAGAGGCUGAAGUAAAAGAGGCAGUGUUUCAGAUGGAACAAAAUAAAGUGCCAGGACCUGAUGGGUUUCCUAUGAGUUUUAUCAAGUCUUCUGGAAUAUAAUAAAGGAUUACUUGAUGGCUCUAUUUGAGGAAUUUCAUAAGGGCUCGUUACCUCUACAUAGCUUAAAUUUCGGGACAAUUAUUCUACUACCAAAGAGCAGUGAAGCUACACAAAUUUAGCAGUACAGACCAAUUUGUCUAUUGAAUGUUAGCUUUAAAAUUUUCAGUAAGGUAGCCACAAACCGAUUUACUAAAAUAGCUGUUGAUGCUUGUUAUUGACACACUUUUAAUACCAUUUAACUAGUGUUUCUAAGCAUAUUCUUAUACUAACUUGCCACUUGGUACCUGAAAUAACCCCAUAUUCGCAUGUGUUGUGUUUUGGAUCAUAUUGCAAAAUCACAUGAAAUACGACAUAAAUGAAGGAUUUUUCUACGAGUUGAAUUUGGGCCUAGACUUUGGAUACUGGAAAGCCCAAACAUGAACAUUGAACUGCAGGCCAGCAGGAAGAGCUGAAACUUGCACGAGUCAUAUCUUCUUCAUCCGAACUUCAAUUGGGGUGAAUUUAUAGGGAAAAUUGCAUAGCUUGACGAGAUCUACAACUUUCAUAUGAAGCGUUUGGGCAUUGGAGGCGAAAACAGGGCAGACCAAUCGGCCCAAAGGGGUCCAGGCCGAUCGGCCUGACUUGUUUCUGGCCCCAAUCGUCAUGCCCUUUCACCAGGAGGAAGCCUGUGACAUCCCUAGGGUUAUUUUCCAGAUAUUUGGCUUUGAAGGCACCACAACCGAUGCCGCCAACUAUAAAUACCAAGACAUCCAACAAGGAGGAGAAUCCCGACGAGUUUAGACCUAGUCGUCGCCGCCACAAGAUGAAAAACACAUAUUAGAUCAGAUCACUACGACGACCAACACCGAUGGGAGUCAGGAGGCACAAGGAAUCCCUCAGGCCGACCAGCCUGAGGAGCCCUAGGCCGAUCAACCUAGGGUGUUCCUACACCCCCUCGCCACCAUCUUCGGUGACUACGUCCUCCAGAGUCUCCUUCACCCCUUUUUGCGUCAAUCUCUGUAAGAUGAUGGGGUAAAGCCUCUGUUCUACCCUAGAAUUGUUUGGAUCCUUGAUAUGUAACUGUUACACGUACUUUAUGCCUAUCAAUUCUUCAUGGUCUAUGCCAUUGCAAUGCUUCAUUCAUAUGUGUUCUGAUCAGCCCAUAUUCUUAGUAGAGUUUGUGGUAAUCGUGGUGAUUAGCUUAACUCUGCGGAUGCUUUGUUAGAGAUGUGUGAGCGGAGUUGCUGAGUAUCCCUAUGUAGUGACAAUAUGCAGGAGGAAAGAGCCGAGCGAGCACAUAAUCUCUAUGAUAGCUAGUGAAGGCAGCAUCUAUUUGUGUAGUAGAUGCAUAUUCAUUUGAACCUAGAUCCUAGGGACGGAAACGCAUAUCCUUCUCUGUUAUCUAUUUUGUAUCACCCUUUACUUCUUGUUCCUUUGUUUAGUUUAGAUUGGUUUGUCUCUCUACACAACCCAUAUUGCUUGAUCUCGUUAGUAAAAUUAGUAUAAAGUGAGAGCUAACAUUUCACUUGUUCGACGGAUUGAUAAACCUUGGGGCAAUACUCUAAGGGAAAAGCUACAACUGAUCUGUGCACUUGCGGUUCACAAAGUGGUGCCCUAACUGCCAUCAAUAGUAGCCCAAAGAAUCAUUAGAUCUUCACAGACAGCCUUCUUGCCGGGGAGAAAUAUCAUGGAGGGGGCUGUUAUUUUACAUGAAACGUUACAUGAGUUGCAUACAAAGAAACAAAAUGGAAUUGUAUUUAAAAUUGAUUUUGAGAAAGCCUAUGAUAAGGUGAAAUGGGAAUUUCUACAAAAAAACUCUAAGAAUGAAACGGUUUUCAUCGACUUGGUGUAACUGGAUUAAAGCAUUUACUAAAGGUGGAAAUGUUGGGAUCAAAGUUAAUGACCAGAUGGGUUCGUUAAUUCAGACAAAAAAAAGAGCCUUAGACAAAGUGACCCGCUAUCUCCCAUACUAUUUAAUAUAGUGGUAGACAUGUUAACAAUCAUCAUUGCGAGGGCCAAAACUGAAGGACAAGUAAAAGGGUGGUACCACAUUUAGUAGAAGAUGAUCUCUCAAUUUUGCAAUAUGCAUAUGACACUGUAAUUUUUAUGGACCACAAUAUUGAAUAAGAAAAGAAUAUGAAGAUGUUAUUAUGCAUGUUUGAAUAGUUAUCCGGUCUUAAAAUAAACUUUCACAAGAGCGAAAUCUUCUGCUUUGGACAAGCAAGAGAGCAUGAGUCUGCAUACUCUCUUUUGUUUGGUUGUAAAUUAGGCUCCUACCCUUUUAGAUUUCUGGGUAUACCAAUUCAUUAUAGAAAUUGUGUAAUAAGGGCUGGAGGGAAAUUGAAGAUAGAAUUGGAGGGAAAUUGAAGAUAGAAUUGAAAAAAAGAUUAAGUGGAUGGAAAGAAAAAAUGCUAUCAGUUAAGGGGAGACUAGUGCUGGUUAACUCUGUUCUAUCCAGCUUACCGAUGUUCAUGCUUUCAUUUUUUGAGAUUCUAGGGGGAAUCCUUGAAAAAAUUGAACAUUUCGGGUCGCAUAGCAAAAUGGGAGAUAUUGUGCCAACCGAAUAACCAGGGAGGUUUGGGAAUCAUGAACCUAGAUAUACAAAACAAAUGCCUACUGAGUAAGUGGCUUUUUAAACUCUGCCAUGAGGAUGGAAUGUGGCAAGAAUUACUAAGGAAUAAAUACCUUAGGAAUAAACCAUUAAGCUAGGUUUAUAAGACACUUGGGGAUUCACAAUUUUGGAUGGGUUUGAUGGGAGUGAAAGAGGACUUUCUUAAAUUGGGGAGAUUCAAAGUGCAAUCAGAAGUUCAAACUAAAUUUUAGGAAGAUACAUGGUUUGGAAAUAGGACGUUAAAUCCCAGUAUCCAAACUUGUACAAUAUAGUACGAAAAAAACACGCUAUUGUGGCUGAGGUCUUCAAUGCAACACCACUCAAUAUAUCUUUCAAGAGAUCAUUAGCGGGAGAUAAGCUAUUAGAAUGGCAUAGCCUAGUGGGUGGAAUUGUGGAUGUCAACCUAACUGAAGGGAGAGAUGUUUUCAUUUGGUCCUUCAUAAAAAUGUGUCGUUUUCGGUGCAUUCUAUGUAUAAACAUCUCAUCAGUACUGGAGUUAGAGUCACACAGGAAAUCUGACAAAUGAGAUUACCACUAAAGAUAACCUUGCUAGAAGAAAUUGGAAUGGAGACAAAUACUGUAGUUUUUGUAGUUCCUGUGAAUAUAUUGACCAUCUCUUCUUUAGUUGUCAUUAUGCCAAGUUUCUAUGGCGUGUUGUACAUAUAGUAUUUGGUAUUUCUCCACCAACAAGUAUGAGUGAUAUGGUCUCUCAAUGGGCUAAACAGGGGGGCAUAAGCUAAAUCUAUAUUUACUGACGGGACCACAGCUUUUUGUUGGGCGGUAUGGUUAACCAAGAAUGAGGUGGUUUUUGACAAAUGUAGACCAAAAACUUUUUUGUAGGUACUAUCAUGGGGAACAUACUGGCUAUGACUUUGGGCCAAGUUGCAGCGAAGUGAUAGUGAUAGGAACUAUUCAUUUCAGCAUGCCGGUCAUUGGAGAUGGCAGCGCUAUGUUUCUUCGGUCAAAUGGAUGGCCCGUUAGUUUGAGAAUUUGGUUUUGAGUCAGUUGCAUAAAACUCUAUGUGUGGGUGUAGCAGUAUGCUACUACUUGUAAUAAUGUUGGACUGAUGCUUCUCUUUAAGAAGGCUGAAGCCGGAACUCUAUCCAUUAUCUAAAUAAACAAAACAAUAUUUUUUCUUUUGGUCGUGACUCUAGCAGGGAGGAAAAAAGAUAAUCCAAUUCCUUUUGGCCGGAUUGAUGCAUCAAUCCAAAAAGAAUCCAUAUAAGGUCAGGGGGUGAAGCCAGGAAUUCGAUUUUUUCGUAAGGGGAGGCUAAUGGAACCAAGCUAACAAAUACAACGUUGAGCCGUGACUGGGGAAAACAGUCAAUUCCCUUUUGGAUUGAUGCAUAGCUCUCUCGCAAAGCAAUUAAAGUUUGGGUAGAAGUUACAAUAGUUAAGAGUGGAGCUAGAAACUCAAAUUUUCUCUAUUUUUUUCUUAUUAAAAGGGGCCUUGGCCCUGCCUACCCCUUGCCUCCAUCAUUUUUUUUAAACAGGAGGGAGCCCCCCUACUGAUUAAUAUAUUGAGCAAAUAAAGGUUUACAGAAAGAUCAAAUUUUCAAAACAGAAACGAGCGGUGUGUGCUGUCAGCAAUGCAACGAUACAUCAAAGGCUGAUUAGCGUGGCAGCUCGCAGCACCUACGAUAUGUCAGAGCCAAAUUGAAUAGAUAUAUAUGGAAAGAAUGGUGGCGAGCAGAGUUCACAGAGCCAAAAUAUAUUAGAGAUAUAUAAGGUUUAAGCGGCGUGCAAUGCUGGUAAUGGAAUGAUACAUCAAAGAGAUAAUUUCCUAUUUGACAUCAGGAAAAUGACCCGUUCCUUUAUUGGCUCUGAAAAUUUCUUCCUUCCUUAUUUGACACUCACUUCAACUUUCAUCCCUAAUAUGACACUGCAGUCCAUUCUGUUAGUUAACAACGUUAAGUGCUAGUUGAAAAGACUCUCUUACCCCUCAUCACUCAUCAGAGGGUCCGGAUGGCAUGUUGCACUGGCUUGUCGGUCAGCAGCGUAUGCACACUGCAUUGGCCUGUCCGGAUGGCAUGCAUGCGUGGUGCCUCUGCAUCAUUUUUUUCAACAUUUAUUUAUAACAUUUAUACAGCAUGAUGAUAACACAUUUAUACAAUAUUUUUUUCAACAUUUAUACAACAUGAUGAUAACACAUAAUAUAGCAUGAUGAUAACACAUUUUUUCAACAUUUUGCCAAAAUGCAAUAGCAUGAUGAUAACACAUACACAAAGUUAAUUGUAACAACAUGAUUAGGACAACAGAUUUAUGGCACAUACAUCAUGAGCAAAAGGUUCAAAUAUGCAAGUUCACAGAGGUUCACAGAUACAUAGAUUAAAAGGUUCAAACAUGAGGAUCACGGAUGUUCAAACAUGCAAGCUCACAGAUGUUCACAGAUACAUUCAAGUUCCAAAUUGUAACAGAUACAUGAGGAUCACAGGCUGAGCCUUCUUUUGCUCCUUGUGCUGAUUGCAGGGCUAGCAGGAUCCAUCCUUUUGCUUCUUGUGUCCAUUGUAGGGAUGUCAAGUGGCACUGUAGGAAUGGGUGUUUUCUUUUUAGUAGGCUCCUUUCUCCUUUUGGUCUUUCUCUUGACUGGAGUAGCGGUAGGUGCAGAUUCAUUUGAAUCUGAUAUUGACCUGUGUAUGGCAGGAAGUAGUAGAUAUAGAACAAAUAAAGAUUGGAACAAGAGACAACAAAAUAGAAUGAAAAUUUCAGAUCUGUGUAUUACCUUUUUAAUGCUCCAGGACUAGAGUUGCUCUUUUUUCCCUUUUUCUUAGAUGUAAUCUCCUCGCUUUUUAUGCUCCAUUACUAGAAUUGGUUUGGUUAUCCUUACUCUUCAUGGUAGUCUUCAAAUUUUGGCUAACAUGGCAAAAGUAAAGCGCUUCAAAACCUGCUGGUUCUUGUGAAAAAAAGUGUCAAACUCAUGAGCUAACCUUGGUAGAAAAGACAUAGAAACUGGUUCUUCAUCCUCCAAAGGCACAAUAGAUGACUCCGCUGUUUUGGUUUUCUUUGCCUUCUUCUUAGGUGGUUCUCUACAUGAUAAAGAAUAAAGUAGUUAGAAUCUAUACUUCUUAUUCCACAAGAACGAAAGCACCUUUUCAUUCUUUCAUAUCCGAAUUGAUCUCAUCCUUUAUAUAAUAAAAUAAAAAAUUUUCAUGCCAAAAGGAAAAUGCAAUGAGCAAUAAAGUAGUUAGCAUGUAUAGUACCCCACAACCAUCGUAGUAGCAAUAUCCUCUGGAUUACCUCUCUUGCAGUUGUGCCAGUGAUGCCCAUAGCAUGUACAAAUAGGGCACUGGUGCUGGCCUUUUUCCCUCUUAUUCUCACUACAACCUUUAUACCUCUCAUUUAUUGGCCUACCAGUAGUUGCUUUCAAUAGAGGUGGAUGCACAAAAAAUCCAUGUGUAGAUUUAGGCCACUGGUUUGUCAGUCAUAGCAGGGAUUAAGUGCCUAUAUGUUGUUCUAAAUUUAUCAAUAGAGUAAUACAUGUCUAUAUACUUCUCUAGAGGAGCAUUGUGAAGUGAGGUGAUAAAUGCUACUGCAUGUUUGCAAGGAAUGCUAGAAACUUGCCACUAUCUACAUGAACAUGUCUUAUCUUGCAAGUUGACUACAAACCUAAAGCCAGUACCCCUCAAUGUUGUAACUUCAGCAACUUCUUCUGAGCAUUCAAGCACCUCCAAGUUUAAUUCUCCACUCAUUCAGCUUCUUAAUUAUGUGGGGGCAGAAUCAAGCCAUCUAACUUCAUUGCUAUUUUUCUCCUUUGGUUCCACUUGAUCAUAAGCAUUUGCCUUAAUAUGGCCAUUAAGUCAUCCAAGUUCAAGGACUUGUGGUGCUUAAUCCAAUUGUUAAAGCACUUAGCCAAGUUGUUGGUUACAUAAUCAACCUUGGAAAUGGUUGAGAACGGACUCCGCGUCCACAUCCUAGUGUGCCACUUCCUAAGGUAAUUAAUAGCACUUGGCUUUGCUGUCUCCAUUGUAGCUCAAUGUUUCUCAAACAAAUAUAGGUUCCAUGAGUAUGCUGCUGCCCAAAGGUGGUCAUCAAAAACCUUGCCAUGAAACUUUUUCUUAUAAUUGGACACAAGUGAAACAUACAUUCCCUAUGUUCUGCCUCUGGGAACACAUCACCUACCCCUACCAUCACUGCUUGGCCAGCAUCAGUGCAUAUAGUUAAACCCCUUGGUGAUCCUAUGGCCUCUCUAACUCUCUCCAUGAACCAUUUCCAAUUAUCAUUUAUUUCAGAAUCAAAAACUCCGAAGCAAAUAGGAAAUAACCAAUUGUGAUCAUCAACAGCUGAAGCACUAGCUAACUGCUCCUUAAACUUGCCUGUCAGGAAAGUGCUAUCUACUGCUAAGUAUAGACUACAACCACUAAUGAACCCAUCAAUGCAUGGUUUCAAGACAAAGAAAAAACUUUUAAAUCUGAUCUUCCCAUUUAUUGUGUGAUGAUCUAUCACUACUAGACCACCAGGGCAAGUGCUCUCAACUUGUGCCUUAAACCUAUACAAAUUGUCGAAGUUGUUAUCCUAAUCACCAUAAAUCUUCCUCAAUGCUAGCUCUUUACCCAUCCACACCCUUUUGUAGUGGACACUCACCUUGUAGUGUUCUUUCAGCUUCUUUUUCAACACCAUUGCAGUAAGAGAUCCAUCCUCAAUGAGCCAGUCCUUAAAUUUAGAACAUACCCAAUCCUUGGUGGCAUUCUUGACCUCCUCCUUCCUCUUACAAAAUAUUAACAUCAGUAGUUAGCUACACCAACAUAACAGAAUAAAUAUUUAGGAAAAAAUAGAAAUUAAUUAUGUUGAAUAAUUACCACUACAGUGCACAUAUCAUCUGUUGCAGAAGCAUGUAGUUUCCAUAGGCAAUUAUCUUCCUCCCACCUUGAAUAAUAGACCCUGAACCUAUAUGGUGCACUCUUCUCCGUGUUAUACUCAAAUUCGUGCUUGAUUGCAUGCUGAGAUAAUGCAAUCUUAAACUCAGCCAUGCUAGGAUAUGUUGAGCCAACUACCAUUGGAGGGUCUUCUUUAUCAUAUUCCAUGUUUAGAAUAUGUUCUACCUUAUGUCCUACCAGCUCUUGGUCAUCCUCUAAUUCAGUCCUUGACUUAAUCUCCAAUUCAUCCUCAUCCUCACUCUCAUCCUCGCUGUCAUCCUUUUCUUUAUCCUGAUCCUUAUGCACAAUCAUAGCCAUAUUUGUAGCUUCACAAGGUGUCUUCUCUAAGUACAUGACCUCCUCACCAACACCUACAUGCUCGUUCUCUGGUACUGGGUUGUGAAGGUACCUAUCCUCAUCUUCUGCAAUAUUCUAGGCAGCCUGCAUUUGCACAUCACUAUGCCACUCUUUGAUGGGCUCAAAUGGUUCAGAGGGAUCACAGUAAGAAAUGAACAUGUCGACAACCUUUGUCUUUGAAUUUUUCUCAAACAUAGACACCAAAUCUUGGUCAGAAUAAACUUUAGGGAAUUCUUUCAUAUCAUGGUCAUAGUAUUGAACAUGAGCAACUUCCAGAUAACCUGGCGGGUACUUUUCUACAAUCCUUCAACUAAAUCCUUAUAGUUUGUCAAGUCUAAAUCAAUAGUCAUAUCAAAACAGAAACAUUUAAAAUCCUUUCUAACUCUCUUUUCGUUGCCGAGCAAUCUAAUUUCUAGCAAAUAUGUCGAAUUUAGAUCCAUCCUGCAAACGAAACGAACAACCUAAGGAAUGAACACUGCUACUUGAACUACUCCUUUUGCUCUACUUAGAUGGAUCGAAGACAUGAUGCACUCACCCUUCAAGGAGCCAGUCUGGCUCUGUGCCAGUAGCAUCAGACUGGCCUCCAUGGCCCCCCGAAGCCCACCCGAGCGUGCUCCCUGCCGACACUGCGGCCCGCCCGGUGGGGCUCCCUGACGCCGUUGCAGCCUGCUCAACACUCUCGGCCACCUUCGCAGCCUGCCCGGCGGGGCUCGUGGCCGCCGUCGCGGCUCGCCCGACGGGGCUCGCGGCCUGAUCCAGCCCCCCCCCCCCCCCCCGACGGGGCUCACGCCCGCCGCAUCCGUCGGGCCGUCGGGGCCCCCAUCCACCGAACCACCCUCAUCGCCUUCCAUAUGCACCGCCGUUGAUUCAUCGUCUAGGGUUCGAGGGACAGGUAAGAGUCGUGAGACCGAGUGUGAGCCAGAGAAGUGCGUGACGGAGGGGAUGAAUCGUGAGCGGGGGGCAAUUUUGUCCACCGACGAAAUAAUUGAUAGGGUCUCAAGGGGCGUCUCACGGCGGUGGCUAACGGAAUGGAUGGCGGUGUUAUAUUAGGGAUGAAAGUUGAAGUGAGUGCCAAAUAAGGAAGGAAUGGGUCAUUUUCUUGGUGUCAAAUAGGGAAUUAUCUCCACAUCAAAAGCCGAUUAGCGUGGCGUGUAGAACCAGCUAGAAUAUGCCAAAGCCAUAUCAAUGCAACAUGAGAGCAUGACAUCUAGACAUAUGGAAAGGGCAGGCGGUGAGCUGCGUCUGCAAAGGCAAAACACAUCAAAGAUAAAUCAAUGUGCACGGAAGCGUCGUCAGAUACAUAAGGAGGAAGCGGUGUGUAGUGCCGCCAACAUGACACUACUUCAAAGAUUGGUUAGGUGAUUAUGCGUGAGGACGCCUAGAAUACCUUGUAGCUAGAUAGUGUAGCAAAAGACAAGGUCACUAAAUAUAUUCAAAGGAUGGACGGUGGGCGGUGAGCGGUAAGCGGUGUUCAAAUUACGUCAUAGAUAGAUACAUAGUGGUGACUAUACGAUAGAUCUGGAUGUAUAGAGGUGGUGGGCGGUGUGUUAACAGCGAGGUAGGUGAGAAAAGAGGAAAACAAAAGGGAUCGAAAGGAAAGGGAAAGAAUUGUGCACUAUGAAGAUUGACCGAGUCGCUUGUCCAAUGCCAAGUGAAUCCUCCUGUGUCUCGUAGCCCGAAUAGCGCCUGCAGUUGCAGUCAAACCAAAGAAGUAACGCAAGAGCAAAGAGAUCGAGAAGGGGAAAUUCGGCGUGGGUGCAGUGCAGUGGUCGCAGUCUGCUGCUGGGUCUGACGGAACGGUUGGUUGGCUGGUUGAUCCUUCUGGAAGCGGGCCGACGACGCGGUCCGAGCCCGGCCCGGCCCGACCCCGCAGUCCCCCCCAAAACCUUUCCAUCUCCCAGGAAAUUUCCUCGUGCCCGCCCCGCCCGGGCCAGUUACUUGGUCACAAAGCACCGAGUAGUGGGCGUGGCCCACCAGCAGCCGCCCAACCACGUCCAAACGCGUGUCCCGUCCCCACCCACCAUCACCACGUUCAUAAUAAAAAGCUCCAACCCCCUCGCCCCUAUUUCUUCCAUUUCCAAUUCAUCGCAUCCCAAUCACAUCCUCAUCACUCCUCAGAUCCAGCCAGGCCUCGCUGCAAUCCGAGGAGGAAAGGAUCCGCUGCCAUGGAGGGCUACGACCGCGAGUUCUGGCAGUUCAGCGACCAGCUGCGGCUGCAGAACAACUUCUCCAACCUCUCCAUCGCCGACUCCAUCUGGUCCUCCUCUACCGCCCCCAACAACCCCCUGCCCGACCAGGGCGCCGCAGCCGCCGCCGGCUCGUGGAAGGCCGCCACCAACAACGGCCCCGGCCUCAUCGGCGCCGGCAGCAAGCUCGCCUUCGGCAACGCCACCACCACCAACGCCGACCGCUACAACUACUUCCCCGCCAACGCCGCUCCCGACGCCAAGAGCAACGCCAACAACAACUCCGGCGGCCUCGCCUUCAGCAAGAACCUUAACAGCCCGGCCGCCGCCCUCGGCAACGACUACUACUUCAGCAAGAACGCCGGCGCCAUGAACGCCAACACCAACGCCGGCGGCGACGUCAUCAAGAGCUACUUCAACAAGUCCGUCGGCAGGCCGGCCAACAACAACAAUAACAACUCCUUCAACGUCGGCAAGAAGAGCGCCGCCGCCCACGACAAGAAGAAGAGCGCCGGCAACGGCAACGGCGCCGGCGUCGACAAGAGGUUCAAGAGCCUGCCGGCGUCGGAGGCGCUGCCCAGGGGCGAGGCCAUCGGCGGGUACAUCUUCGUCUGCAACAACGACACCAUGGAGGAGAACCUCAAGAGGCAGCUCUUCGGUACGUCGUCGCCUUUGCUUGCUUGCACUGAAAUCGAUUGGAUCGGAUUGGAUUGAUUCCAGCAUCCAACGCUGAAUCGAAUCCAAGAACCGAUUCAAGCUCGGGAUUUUAUUGUUCGAUUCGACCGGAAUACUCACUGAAUUGAUGGAUUGCUUUGCUUGCAGGGCUGCCGUCCAGGUACAGGGACUCGGUGAGGGCCAUCCGGCCAGGCCUUCCCCUCUUCCUCUACAACUACUCCACCCACCAGCUCCACGGCAUCUUUGAGGUCCAAUACUUCCUUAGAAUCUUAGGCAUCAGAGCAUAUGUUCAUUUGUUCGAUGGUUAUUGAAAUUUCAUCGCACGCAGGCCGCAAGCUUCGGCGGAUCCAACAUCGAUCCAACAGCUUGGGAGGACAAGAAGUGCCCUGGAGAGUCCCGUUUCCCUGCUCAGGUAUCAAUCAAACCAUCCUCAAAACAAUCGAACAUCAACAUACGCUGUUCAUCCUUUUGUUAGCUAAUAGCUAUAGGCUGUACUUGAAAAAAAGAGAGCAAUUAUUGCUUUUUUUUUUCCACUACGGGCCUCGCCCGAAUUUCAUUACCAGCGAGCAAUGAAAUUACAUAGUUAUGUAUCGCACGUUUACAGAAAGCAUUUAGAGAAAGGAGAUUACAUAUCCGACUAUAGCUUCCAGCGAGAACGACGCAAAGGGACUUCUGGCUGGAAGACAAAUCCAUCAGGAACAAACUCAAUUGCUCCUGAAAUAAAAACAGAUUAUAGCUUAACAAAAGGAAAAGAAAAGGGAUUUGAUCGGUUUGUUCGUGUGAUCCUGUCAAGCAGGCCUAAUUGUCAAAAGCAAAGAAAAAUGUGCACAAGUUAGCUUAGACGCACAGGAAAGUAAUAGUUUGGUGGUCGGCCGACCUUAUCGAUCAAUCAAGUUGAUUUGGUUGGCUGAAUGUGACCCUGUCAAGCUUUUGCUUUACUGGCCUAGUCACGUCGUGCACACACACAGGCACAAAAGCCAAACACAAAAAAGAAAACAG